rnacentral:rRNA from 1 species
GAUGAACGCUCGCGGCAGGCCUAAUACAUGCCAGCCGAACGGCAAGUUUGAUAGCAAUAUUGGACCUAGAGUGGCGCAAGGGUGCGUAACACGUAUGCAACCUGCCCGCGACAGGAGGAUAGCUCCCCGAAAGGGGAAUUAACCCUCCAUAACACCAUGAGAAGGCAUCUGAUUAUGGUUAAACCGCAAGGGGUCGCGGAUGGGCAUGCGGUUGAUUAGCUAGUUGGCGGGGUAAAGGCCCACCAAGGCGGUGAUCAAUAGGGGUUCUGAGAGGAAGGUCCCCCACACUGGCACUGAGACACGGCCCAAACUCCUACGGGAGGCAGCAGUAGGGAGUCUUCGGCAAUGGACGAAAGUCUGACCGAGCAACGCCGCGUGAGUGCAGAAGGUUUUCGGAUCGUAAAACUCUGUUGGUAGAGAGGAACGUUGGUGAGAGUGGAAAGCUCAUCAAGUGACGGUAACUACCCAGAAAGGGACGGCUAACUACGUG